UACGAAGGGGGCUAGCGUUGCUCGGAAUCACUGGGCGUAAAGCGCACGUAGGCGGAUUGCUAAGUCAGGGGUGAAAUCCUGGAGCUCAACUCCAGGACUGCCUUUGAUACUGGCGAUCUCGAGUCCGGGAGAGGUGAGUGGAACUGCGAGUGUAGAGGUGAAAUUCGUAGAUAUUCGCAAGAACACCAGUGGCGAAGGCGGCUCACUGGCCCGGUACUGACGCUGAGGUGCGAAAGCGUGGGGAGCAAACAGG
rnacentral:rRNA from 1 species